rnacentral:ncRNA from 1 species
AGCAUUUGAUCUUGGCUCAGAAGGAACACUAGCUAUAUGCUUAACACAUGCAAGUCGAACGUUGUUUUCGAGGAGCUGGGUAGAAGGAAAAGAGGCUCCUAGCUAAAGGUAGCUUGUCUCGCCCAGGAGGUGGGAACAGUCGAGAACAAAGUGGUGAAUGGGUGCGUAAUGCGUGUGAAUCUGCCGAACAGUUCAGGCCAAAUCCUAAAGAAAGCUAAAAAGCAUUGUUUGGUGAGUCUGUGUGGCAUUAGGUAGUUGGUCAGGUAAAGGAUGACCAAGCCAAUGAUGCUUAGCUGGUCUUUUCAGAUGAUCAACCACACUGGGACAGAGACACGACAUGGACUCCCAAUGGGGCAAUAGUGGGGAAUCUUGGACAAUGGGCGAAAGCCCGAUCCAGCAAUAUCGCGUGAGUGAAGAAGGGUAAUGUCGCUUGUAAAUCUCUUCUGUCAAGUGCACGAUCAUGAUAGGACUUGAGGAAGAAGCCCCGGAUAACUCCGUGCCAGCAACCACGGUAAGACGGGGGGGGGGGGGGGGGGGGGNNNGGGGGGGGGGGGGGGGGGGCAAGUGUUCUUCAGAAUGACUGGGCGUAAAUGGCACGUAGACGGUGAAUUGGGUUGAAAUUGAAAGUCACCAAAAACUGGUGGAAUGCUCUCGAAACCAAUUCACUUGAGUGAGACAAAGGAGAGUGGAAUUUUAUGUGUAGGGGUGAAAUCUGGAGAUCUACGAAGGAACGCCAAAAGUGAAGGCAGCUCUCUAUGUCCCCACCGACGCUGGGGUGCAAAAGCAUAGGGAGCGAAUGGGAUUAGAUACCCCGGUAGUCCAUGUCGUAAAUGAUCAAUGUUCGCCCUUGGUCUACGCAGAGCAGGGGCCCAGCUAACGCAUGAAACACUCCGCCUGGGGAGUACGGUCGCAAGACUGAAACUCAAAGGAACUGACGAGGGCCUCCACAAGCGGGUGAGCAUGUUGUUUGAUUCGAUACAAUGAGCUGAACCAUACCAGCCCAUGACAUAUGAACAACAAAACCUGUCCUUAAUAGGAUGGUACUGAAUUUCAUACAGGUGCUGCAUGGAUGUCGUUAGCUCGUGUCGUGAGAUGUUUGGUCAAGUCCUAUAACGAGCGAAACCCUCAUUUUGUUUUACAGAGACAUGCGCCUAAGGAGAAAGUCUUUGCAACUGAAGUGAGCCGAGUUACGUGCCAGCACUACUAAUUGAGUGUCAACAUUUAACUGUGCUGUCAGUAAGAAGGGAGGUGGCAUCUUUCGAAUGAAGCACUUUUUAGUGCGCGCUUUAGUUUGAUUGCAGCUAGUGCGCUUUACUGAAUAGAAAAGGCUUUUCUCAAUUGUUUAGUUCAAGGUUUUAGCCUUAUCUUGCAGGUGAUGAUGACGUCGAGUUGGCGGUGGAAAAAGACUCAGCAUUUAUGCGAGCCGCCCCGUGGUGUGUUACGUAGUAGGUUUAGUACGCCCUACCAAAACAGCUCCGAAAUAAAUAAAAAGGUGUGUGCCGCACUCACGAGGGGCUGCCGGUGAUAUACUGGAGGAGGAUGAGGAUGACGUCAAGUCUGCAUGGCCCUUAUGGGUUGGGCCACACACGUGCUACAAUGAAAAUUACAAUAGGAAGCAAGGCGGUAAGGCGGAAAGAAUCCAGAGAGAUUGGCUCAGUUCGGAUUGCUCUCUACAACUUGGGAACAUGAAGUUAGAAUCGGUAGAAAUCGCGGAUCAACAUGCCGCGGUGAAUAUGUACCCGGGCCCUAUGCACGCAGCCCAUCACACCCUAGGAAUUGGUUUCGCCUGAAGCAUCGGACCAAUGAUCACCCAUUACUUAUGUGUACCACACAUGCCAUAAAGGCUUUUGGUGGUCUUAUUGGCGCGUACCACAGUGGGGUCGUCGACUGGGGUGAAGUCGUAACAAGGUAGCCGUAGGGGAACCUGGGGCUG